AGCUUUGUGCAGUGGCAAUAUCGUAGCCAAUGACAUCUACCCGAGGAGGCGCGAUUAUUGCUAAUUGAAAACUUUUCCCAACACCCCGCUGUGACGACUUGAAAUUUGGUCGGCAUUGGCGAUUUUUGACGGUCUCCACGGAGA
rnacentral:snRNA from 1 species